AUUGAACGCUGGCGGAAUGCUUUACACAUGCAAGUCGAGCGGCAGCGCGGGGCAACCUGGCGGCGAGCGGCGAACGGGUGAGUAAUACAUCGGAACGUGCCCAGACGUGGGGGAUAACUACUCGAAAGAGUGGCUAAUACCGCAUACGAUCUAAGGAUGAAAGCGGGGGAUCGCAAGACCUCGCGCGUUUGGAGCGGCCGAUGGCAGAUUAGGUAGUUGGUGGGGUAAAGGCUUACCAAGCCCGCGAUCUGUAGCUGGUCUGAGAGGAUGAUCAGCCACACUGGGACUGAGACACGGCCCAGACUCCUACGGGAGGCAGCAGUGGGGGAAUUUUGGACAAUGGGCGAAAGCCUGAUCCAGCCAUUCCGCGUGCAGGAUGAAGGCCCUCGGGUUGUAAACUGCUUUGUACAGACGAAAAAGACUCUUUC
rnacentral:rRNA from 1 species